AGCGAACGCUGGCGGCAGGCCUAACACAUGCAAGUCGAACGAAGUCUUCGGACUUAGUGGCGGACGGGUGAGUAACACGUGGGAACGUGCCUUUAGGUUCGGAAUAACUCGGGGAAACUUGUGCUAAUACCGAAUGUGCCCUUCGGGGGAAAGAUCUAUCGCCUUUAGAGCGGCCCGCGUCUGAUUAGCUAGUUGGUGAGGUAAAGGCUCACCAAGGCUACGAUCAGUAGCUGGUCUGAGAGGAUGACCAGCCACAUUGGGACUGAGACACGGCCCAAACUCCUACGGGAGGCAGCAGUGGGGAACCUUGCGCAAUGGGCGAAAGCCUGACGCAGCCAUGCCGCGUGGAUGAUGAAGGUCUUAGGAUUGUAAAAUCCUUUCACCGGUGAAGAUAAUGACUGUAGCCGGAGAAGAAGCCCCGGCUAACUUCGUGCCAGCCGCCGCUGUAAAAC
rnacentral:rRNA from 1 species